GUCUGAAUCAAUAUUUGAAAUCAACUCUUCCUUUGACCAACAUUUUAUCUACUUUACCAACUUUCUGCCUAGUCACCAUGAUCACGUAGAAAAUAUAUAUUAGAGUUCCUUAGUUGAAAGCCUAGAUGAUAUCAUCAAAUUUGCAGAUGACACAAAGUUGAAAGAGGUCACUACCAACACAAUGGAAGAUGGAAUCCUAUUGGAAACCUAGUGGAAUCAGGACCUCAAAAGAUAUUGAUAAACUAAUAAUAGACAGAACCAAGCUAUUCUCUAUCCUUCUUUCCAAUUGUUAA
rnacentral:lncRNA from 1 species